CCUACGGGAGGCAGCAGUGGGGAAUAUUGCACAAUGGGGGAAACCCUGAUGCAGCGACGCCGCGUGAGCGAGGAAGUAUUUCGGUAUGUAAAGCUCUAUCAGCAGGGACGAAAAAAGACGGUACCUGACUAAGAAGCCCCGGCUAACUACGUGCCAGCAGCCGCGGUAAUACGUAGGGGGCAAGCGUUAUCCGGAUUUACUGGGUGUAAAGGGAGCGUAGACGGCAAGGCAAGCCAGAAGUGAAAGGGCAGGGCUCAACCCUGUACAUGCUUUUGGAAACUGUAUGGCUGGAGUGCAGGAGAGGUAAGUGGAAUUCCUAGUGUAGCGGUGAAAUGCGUAGAUAUUAGGAGGAACACCAGUGGCGAAGGCGGCUUACUGGACUGUAACUGACGUUGAGGCUCGAAAGCGUGGGGAGCAAACAGGAUUAGAUACCCGGGUAGUC
rnacentral:rRNA from 1 species